GCUGACGUGGCUCAAUUGGCAGAGCAGCUGAUUUGUAAUCAGCAGGUUGGCGGUUCAAGUCCGCCCGUCAGCUCCA
rnacentral:tRNA from 4 species